rnacentral:rRNA from 1 species
UACGUAGGGUGCGAGCGUUGUCCGGAAUUAUUGGGCGUAAAGGGCUCGUAGGCGGUUUGUCGCGUCGGGAGUGAAAUCCACUGGCUUAACUGGUGGCUUGCUUUCGAUACGGGCAGACUGGAGGUAUGCAGGGGAGAACGGAAUUCCUGGUGUAGCGGUGAAAUGCGCAGAUAUCAGGAGGAACACCGGUGGCGAAGGCGGAUCUCGUGGGCCAUUACUGACGCUGAGGAGCGAAAGCGUGGGGAGCGAACAGG